rnacentral:rRNA from 1 species
GAUGAACGCUAGCGGGAGGCUUAAUACAUGCAAGUCGAGCGGCAAGGUCUUCGGACCCUAGAGCGGCGCACGGGUGAGUAACGCGUACGCAAUCUGCCCUUCAGUGAGGAAUAGCCCUGGGAAACUGGGAUUAAUACCUCAUAAUAUUAUUUAAUCGCAUGGUUAGAUAAUUAAAGUUCUGGCGCUGAAGGAUGAGCGUGCGUCUGAUUAGCUAGUUGGUAGGGUAACGGCCUACCAAGGCUACGAUCAGUAGGGGGCGUGAGAGCGUGACCCCCCCCACGGGUACUGAGACACGGACCCGACUCCUACGGGAGGCAGCAGUAAGGAAUAUUGGGCAAUGGAGGCAACUCUGACCCAGCCAUCCCGCGUGAAGGAUAAGGCCCUAUGGGCUGUAAACUUCUUUUGUUUGGGAAGAAAUCUGGACAUUUAUGUGCAGUUGACGGUACCUUACGAAUAAGCACCGGCUAACUCCGUGCCAGCCGCCGCCGUAACAC